UACGUAGGUGACAAGCGUUGUCCGGAUUUACUGGGCGUAAAGAGCGCGCAGGCGGUCGUUCAAGUCGAGUGUGAAAGCCCCCGGCUCAACUGGGGAGGGUCACUCGAUACUGAUCGACUCGAAGGCAGGAGAGGGAAGUGGAAUUCCCGGUGUAGUGGUGAAAUGCGUAGAUAUCGGGAGGAACACCAGUGGCGAAGGCGACUUCCUGGCCUGUUCUUGACGGCUGAGGCGCGAAAGCUAGGGGAGCAAACGGG
rnacentral:rRNA from 1 species